CCUACGGGCGGCAGCAGUAGGGAAUAUUGCUCAAUGGGGGAAACCCUGAAGCAGCAACGCCGCGUGGAGGAUGAAGGUUUUCGGAUUGUAAACUCCUUUUGUUAGAGAAGAUAAUGACGGUAUCUAACGAAUAAGCACCGGCUAACUCCGUGCCAGCAGCCGCGGUAAUACGGAGGGUGCAAGCGUUACUCGGAAUCACUGGGCGUAAAGAGCGCGGAGGCGGGAUAGCAAGUCAGAUGUGAAAUCCUAUGGCUUAACCAUAGAACUGCAUUUGAAAAUGUUAUUCUAGAGUAUGGGAGAGGUAGGUGGGAUUCUUGGUGUAGGAGUAAAAUUCGUAGAGAUCAAGAGGAAUACUCAUUGCGAAGGCGAGCUGCUAGAACAUAACUGACGCUGAUGCGCGAAAGCGUGGGGAGCAAACAGGAAUAGAUACCCCUGUAGUC
rnacentral:rRNA from 1 species